CAAGGUUGCAUGACUACCUACACAGAGGGGCCAGCCACAGCCUCCUCUCACACCGGCCAGUGGCUGAGCCCAUGAGGACACUGAGGCUGGGAAGCCACAGAGGAGGUUGGCGGGGCCACUGGGACUGGACAGGGUCAAGGAUGAGACCAGCUCGCACCCGGGGCCCUGGAUGGAGCCUCCCCUCCAGCUUCUCUGGGACUGAGGCUGGGAGCUGUCAGGAAGACGAACAGGACUCGCUGGCCCUGGUUGCCUCUGCCGUCCCCUAGAGCUGGGGGAGCCUGCAAGGCAGUCAGCUGGAGAGAGGGUCCGGGUUCAGGCAUCCUUCUGAGCAGUUUCAUGGCUUUUCUGGCAUAACUUUCCAAACCCCAAAUGCCCUCGGAUGCACUCAGAUGCGCCGUACACAACAGGAAGCUCAGCAGGACACGCAGUCUAGGAACAUGCACGACCCAGGAGACACCCAAGACCCAGGGGAUGUGUGACCCGGGAGACACAUGUGACAUCGCCACGGAGCACAGCAGAGACGGAACAGCUGCAAAGGUCACGGCGCCCACCCAGAGCUGGUAGAUGGGGCGCUGGCGCCGCAGAGGUGGGCCCCACAGCCUUCCACACAGGGGCAUCUGACCCACGGCCCGGCCCCUUGCAAAGCCAAGGCCGCAGAGGGGGAAGGUGCAGGAGCUCUGAGAUGAAAGAGGUGAUGAGUUUGCGGCAAUGUAGGAAUGAAAUACAUCGGCCACAGGAGGACGCAGGUGCAAACCACCGAAAUAAAGCCAUUGCCACACAGGCGGACAGGA
rnacentral:lncRNA from 1 species